rnacentral:rRNA from 1 species
GAUGAACGCUAGCUACAGGCUUAACACAUGCAAGUCGAGGGGCAGCGCAGUGUAGCAAUACAUGGGCGGCGACCGGCGCACGGGUGCGUAACGCGUAUCCAACCUUCCCGUUACCCUUGGAUAGCCUUCCGAAAGGGAGAUUAAUACAAGAUGGUAUUCAAAUUCCGCAUGUUAUUUGAAUUAAAGAUUUAUCGGUAACGGAUGGGGAUGCGUGACAUUAGAUAGUAGGCGGGGUAACGGCCCACCUAGUCUACGAUGUCUAGGGGUUCUGAGAGGAAGGUCCCCCACACUGGAACUGAGACACGGUCCAGACUCCUACGGGAGGCAGCAGUGAGGAAUAUUGGUCAAUGGUCGGAAGACUGAACCAGCCAAGUAGCGUGAAGGAUGAAGGUUCUAUGGAUUGUAAACUUCUUUUAUACGGGAAUAAAACACCUUACGUGUAGGGUCUUGCAUGUACCGUAUGAAUAAGCAUCGGCUAACUCCGUGCCAGCAGCCGCCGUAAAAC